UCAGUGCCACCAUUGACGGCCACCGCCUCCACCGCCAGGGUUAAACCUAACUCGUGUCUUUGAUUUUUUCCGGCUACCACGGCAAUUCUGGUUUGAGGCAUGUAGGGUUCACAUGAAUCUGAAAGCACUGAGCAGCUUUUGGGUCAGUAACCGGUGUUUCUUCUGGAAUUUUUAUUUGCUCUGUGUUUAUAUAUGUAGUGGUUGCUUAAUUUCAGUUUGAUGUCCCAAUUUGUUGCUCGUUAGGUUUAUUUUUAAUGCUUUAAGUGAGCUAAUUUCUAAUAAAUUUCCUCUCUGUUUAUUCCUAUUUCUUUUUGCUAUACAUCAUGGCACGAGAACAUACAAUCAUAUCUGCUAAGGCUCAGAAGAAAAUUCUCUAGGGAUGUUAGAUUUUCCGGUGAGAUCCGAAUAGCUUUCCUGCCGGUUUGGAUUGGAAGCUCUGGCUCUUAUCUUCCCGAUUGAUAUUUCUACUCUAAAUCACUUAUGUGCUCCACCUCAAUAGUGUAAAUUGUAUUUCUACUUCAGAAAUAAUUGAAUCUUAACUGAAGUUUGGUUUCUUGUUGAUAUUGAAUUCAUUGCAUCUCAAAGAAUUGAAUAAAGGUGUUAAUUAUGAUUUACACUUCAAGUCUCUGUGAGGGGCCAUUUGUCUUAGCAAGCUAGAGUUCUAUUUCAUGGUGGAUCUUUUUCCUUCUGAUUGCUACAAAUAGAGAAAUUGAUGUUUUGAUGGAUAAAAAAGGUUUGUGAUUAUUACAUUUUUCUCAAAUAUCUGUGGAAUUGUGGGAAGUCUAGUUUCUGGAAAACUCUAGCUAUGGGUAUAUGAUGACAUUGCUUUUGAACUAUAAGUUAUAGAAGAUAUUCUAAUAUUGUUGGCCAAAGAGUAAUAAUUCUUUUCUUGAUUAUUUGUUGGGAAGAAAGAUGGGAAGGGAAGAAAAAUGAGGGGAAGAAGUCGGUGAUGGUUAUUGUAAGUUUUGAUCAAAUGAUUCACUUCUUCCAGGCUUACAUAAUGAUGUUGCAUUAACAUCAGUGGAGAAAUUUGUUCUGAACCUAACACACAUGCUUACUUCUCAGCAAUAUAUCUUACUGCUUUAUUAUUUGUUGUAUAUACUUGUGGCUUAGCCUGGCACACAAUUUUUCGAUUCCUCGUUCUUCACAUUGUUUUAUUCAUCAGAUCACACAUGUAGUUAGUAAGGUAUUCAUGACUGAGUAAGAUGUUAGUUCACGUCCAUGUCUCGGUAAAGUUCAGGAAAUCAAUGGAAUAUGGGAUUAUGGGUAAUGAGAUAGUUUUUCCUUAUUAACACAAACACAUUAGAUUAAAUUGACCCUAAAGUGAAAAGCAAUUCAACUGCUACAAUGAAUUCAAAUAGUGAAAUACAAUCAGUCAGUUUUGCAUAAUUUUAAGAAUGUGUGAAUUAUGAUGAUAAGCGAGCAUAAUUUUCCAUAAAGUCAUGAGUUUCAUGGUUUUGGUUUAUUAAUAUUGCUUCAUCAGUACAGAUGAAUAAAAGUGAUGAUUUCGGGUUUUGGAUUACUCUUCACUCUAAAUGCUUGUGCUUUUUCCUGUCAAGAUGGACUUUAUUUUCAUAGCUGAUAAUUAUUUCUUAACUAAGGGAGCUUGACCAUCAUACUUAUUAGUCAUCACCUUGUCAAACAUUCUCUUACAGCAUACUGAUAGUUCAUCUUUUGCUUUAAUGGAGAGCCAGUAAUAGGACUUCUUUUUUCUCAAACUUCCAAUAACUAUGUAAAUAAUGAAAAGUGAUCUAAUAGUUCCCAAGGUAAAAAAGAAGCUAUUUUUGAUCAAUAUUGUUGUUAUUGAUGUUAACUGGAACAUGUGCUGCUCUUCCUUGUAGGAAAUUACCAUUCAAAAAAUGGAUAGGUUCUUUCUGGAUAAUUGUUUUGUAUAGGGGUUAGGGUAUAAGAUUUAUAAAAUAAAAUUAGUUUCAGUACUAUUAGUAUUAGCAUACUAGUAACAACUCUCAGAUUUGUCCACCAAGCUACAUUUAUUGUAAGUAUAAAGUUUCCAGUACUUAUUCAUCCAAGAAUUAGUUCAAUUCAGCUCUUCUGUUGAGCAGAAGUUCAGAAACUAUAUUCAGGUAUUUGGUUCCUGACAUAUGUAAUACCAGCCAGGUUUACCAUUUUUCUUUAUCACUAAAGGUUAAAUAUGUACUAGCAAUAGCCAUUAUCUUCUAUAUACAGUCACCGAUAAGUUUAGCUUUUAUUGAAGUAGCUUACAUAUCAUACAAUCACUUGAUUUCCUAUCUAAUAUGUCUAACAAAACAUAACGAAACAAGAUGAAACAGAGGAUAAAAAUUACAAAGGUAAACAGAAAUCAAGAAACAAAGAAGGUAGUUAAACAGAGUGGAGUAGGUUUAUUGGAGAAGUACAGAGGCAUAAGGAAAAAGAAGUUGCCAAGCUAUAUGGCAGGUGUUUGUGUAACUGUAUUUUUGACUAAGGAGAGGGGUUUUUAUUUUGCAGAGAUGAAGAAGUGGAAGCUGGAGGAACACCAGGAAAACCAGGUAUGAUCGGUGGGAAGAGUGGAGGGAGAGGUGGGAAGAGUGAAGGGGGCGGUGGUGGGGGAGAUGGAGUUAAACCAGGUAUGAGUGGUGGGAUAAACGGAGGGAAUAAUGAAGGUGGAGAACGUGGAGGUGAAGGGAUUAUUGGAGGAAAUAUUGAAGGUGGAGGUGAAGGGAAUAAGGGAGGAAAUAUGGAAGGAGGAGGAGAGGGGAUGACAGGAGGAAUAAUGGAAGGUGGAGGUAGAAAUGGGUUUGGAGGAAGGAUUGAAGGUGGUGGAAGAAGUGGAUUUGGAGGCAAGGGAAGUCCUCCUCCUAUUGGAUUGAAAAAAUUUGGCUUAGCUGCAGCUUCUGAUUGAGAGUAGUAUUUGCUAGAGUCUUUAGGCACUGGUGAUAUUGGAAGUCCUGGA
rnacentral:lncRNA from 1 species